UUAGCCUGGUUGCUAUGCACGCAUGUUGUGUGAGGGUAAAUUAAUUUUAGGGUAUUAAUUAGGGUUCUAUCUUGGACUACCAUGAAAGGGUUGCGGUGCGUGCAGUUCACUUGGCGAAAGACAGGAAACACCCUGGACAGGUCACCAGUCCAUCACAAAAAUGAAAAGAUCCGAACGGCUCGAAGACGCGUCACGCAGGGAUGCCAGAUGCAGGAACAGCAAUUACCAGAAGGUUUUCUUGUGCAGGGUUUGGGAUGGUAGAAAAGCCGCUGGUAUC